rnacentral:tRNA from 1 species
AGAGCGGUGGCGCCGGCCUUGAGGCGCUCGCCGGCCUGGGCGGCGUCGAAGGCUUGGACGUGGAGGUCGUCGGGGAGCUUCUUCCCGUCGGUCGC